rnacentral:snRNA from 1 species
GUGCUUGCUUUGGCAGCACAUACACUAAAAUUGGAACGAUACAGAGAAGAUUAGCAUGGCCCUGUGCAAGGAUGACAUGCAAAUCCAUGAAGCAUGCCAUAUUUUU